rnacentral:rRNA from 1 species
UACGUAGGGGGCAAGCGUUGUCCGGAUUUAUUGGGCGUAAAGAGCGUGUAGGCGGUUUGGUAGGUCCGCUGUGAAAACUCGAGGCUCAACCUCGAGACGCCGGUGGAAACCAUCAGACUAGAGUCCUGAAGAGGAGAGUGGAAUUCCUGGUGUAGCGGUGAAAUGCGCAGAUAUCAGGAAGAACACCCGUGGCUAAGGCGGCUCUCUAGUACGGUACUGACGCUGAGACGCGAAAGCGUGGGGAGCGAACAGG